GGAGACGUGGCCGAGUGGCUGAAGGCAACGGUUUGCUAAAUCGUCGUACCUUGUAAGGGGUACCGAGGGUUCGAAUCCCUCCGUCUCCGCCA
rnacentral:tRNA from 1 species